rnacentral:lncRNA from 1 species
AUGAGGGAAACAAUUCAAGGAAUGAUUAAAGUAGGAAUGGACGAUGUAAGAUGUAAAGCACCCAGUCUGGCAGUUGAAACCGUCAAGGUGGAGAACGUCAUUCUUGCUGAGAAAGAGAAAAAUCCGUCCAUUUCUUCUUACAAACAGGCAGUGGAAGUGGUGAGAAAUGGAGGGAUCCCAGGCUGGGGAAAGAUCAUAGGCAUUGUGGUAAAGGCGGAUAUGUUUGGGGUUGGCUAUCAGGAAGGCCAAGACUCGUCUGAGCACAGAGGACGUCGUC